rnacentral:rRNA from 1 species
GAUGAACGCUGGCGGCGUGCCUAAUACAUGCAAGUCGAGCGAACAGACGAGGAGCUUGCUCCUCUGACGUUAGCGGCGGACGGGUGAGUAACACGUGGAUAACCUACCUAUAAGACUGGGAUAACUUCGGGAAACCGGAGCUAAUACCGGAUAAUAUAUUGAACCGCAUGGUUCAAUAGUGAAAGACGGUUUUGCUGUCACUUAUAGAUGGAUCCGCGCCGCAUUAGCUAGUUGGUAAGGUAACGGCUUACCAAGGCGACGAUGCGUAGCCGACCUGAGAGGGUGAACGGCCCCACUGGAACUGAGACACGGUCCAGACUCCUACGGGAGGCAACAGUAGGGAAUCUUCCGCAAUGGGCGAAAGCCUGACGGAGCAACGCCGCGUGAGUGAUGAAGGUCUUCGGAUCGUAAAACUCUGUUAUUAGGGAAGAACAAAUGUGUAAGUAACUAUGCACGUCUUGACGGUACCUAAUCAGAAAGCCACGGCUAACUACGUG